rnacentral:rRNA from 1 species
UAUGCUUAGGGCUACACACGUGCUACAAUGGGUAGUACAGAGGGUUGCCAAGCCGUAAGGUGGAGCUAAUCCCUUAAAGCUACUCUCAGUUCGGAUUGUAGGCUGAAACUCGCCUACAUGAAGCUGGAGUUACUAGUAAUCGCAGAUCAGAAUGCUGCGGUGAAUGCGUUCCCGGGUCUUGUACACACCGCCCGUCACACCACGGGAGUUGGAGACGCCCGAAGCCGAUUAUCUAACCUGUUGGAAGAAGUCGUCGAAGGUGGAAUCAAUAACUGGGGUGAAGUCGUAACAAGGUAGCCGUAUCGGAAGGUGCGGCUGGAUCACCUCCUUUCUAAGGAGA